UACGUAGGGUGCAAGCGUUGUCCGGAAUUAUUGGGCGUAAAGAGCUCGUAGGCGGUUUGUCGCGUCUGCUGUGAAAUCCCGAGGCUCAACCUCGGGCCUGCAGUGGGUACGGGCAAACUAGAGUGUGGUAGGGGAGACUGGAAUUCCUGGUGUAGCGGUGGAAUGCGCAGAUAUCAGGAGGAACACCGAUGGCGAAGGCAGGUCUCUGGGCCACUACUGACGCUGAGGAGCGAAAGCAUGGGGAGCGAACAGG
rnacentral:rRNA from 1 species